CAGUAGCGUAUCUUAAAGUUGUUGCAGUUAAAAGCUCGUAGUUGGACUUCUAGAGACAAUGUGAGGCUCCAGGGAGUUCGCUCCUAAGGUGGCUCUUACAAGUCUCUUUUUUGCUAGAAUACUGUCUACCAUUAAUUUGGUUGGAUGGUGUUUUUCUAGCUCUUUUACUUUGAGAAAAAUAGCGUGCUCAAAGCAGGCGUUUUGCCUUGUAUAUGUUAGCAUGGGAUAAUAAUAAAGACUGCGUGUUUAUGUUGUUGGUUAUGAACAUGUGGUAAUGAUCGAUGGGAACGGCUUGGGGGUCUCGGUAUUCUGUAGGGAGAGGUGAAAUUCUUGGAUCUAUGGAAGACCACCUGCUGCGAAAGCGUUGACCAAAGACGUCUCCGUCAAUCAAGAACGAAAGUUGGGGGAUCGAAGAUGAUCAGAUACCAU
rnacentral:rRNA from 1 species